GCCCUCUUAGCUCAGUUGGUAGAGCACUUCCAUGGUAAGGAAGGGGUCAGCAGUUCGAGUCUGCUAGAGGGCU
rnacentral:tRNA from 1 species